CACGACUUUUGAUACAUAUAUUUCUAUAAUGAGUUUUUUUUAACAUGUACUCUUAAGGGCACAAGUUAACAUUUGUAUUGAGACGAAUCAUUUGCUUGACAUCUUUUACUUUGUCUUACUCAGAUCUCUUGCAAUAUCAUCAAGAACUAAUGAACCAAGAGUUUCAAUAGCUUCAUUAUAGUUUUGUUCUGUCACACCAAAGCUUCCACGGCAAAAAC
rnacentral:lncRNA from 1 species